rnacentral:tRNA from 1 species
UACCUCCGGCAGGACUCGAACCCGCAAUCCCCGGUUUAGAAGACCGAUGCCUUAUCCAUUAGGCCACGGAGGC